GGUUCACCCGGCCAAGGGAUUUAGGGUUUGGAAUUGCGGAACCUCCCCCCGGGGGUCU
rnacentral:tRNA from 1 species